ACCAGGCCUCAUAAAUAUAAUUGUUGACAAACUGGCUAAGUUUCAAGACAAAUGGGUCACAAUGUUUUAUUUUGACCAAUCAUAAUUUCGAAUUAUGUGUUGAGAUAUAAAGCAAAACUGCAAAGCCAUGUUUCAAUUCUAUUAGAGCAACCAUGGACCGGAGUUGGUACACCUUGGAUACUUGUACUUUCUUUUGAAGCCAUUCAUGCACCAGAAAUACAGCCUAUCAAGGAAAAAAAACCAACAUGAGAAAGCAGGCAAAUAAUGGCACCAUGGUGUUUGUAUUCAUCAUAGUACAUCAAUAUUCCACCCAUUAAUUUUAGAAGUCUCUUAUAAUUUUGCCAUAUUAUAACUAUUCUGCUUUUUUCUGUAGGAUCACACUUUUCGCUCUUUCCAAUAUCCUGUAAAUAAUCUGUUCCUAAGUGGUUAUGAUUCUGCAAAAUGCUAACAACAGACAUUUUGUCCGGAAUUGCUGAUCGUUUCUUUUACUACUUGUAUCUGGCACUGCAAUGGAAGAAAGAAAAAUAUUUUCUAGAGUAUUAUUUUCUCUAUGAUGAUGACUCUUACAUAUUUACUAGACUUCAGUAAAAUACCAUGAGUUUUUAGAAACUAAAACAUGACAGACAAGCUUUUAUUUUUUUCUGUAUUUUCGCCUGCUGGAGCCAGUUACAUUCUUUCCACCAGAGAGCGCAAGUAUCACCAGAAGUGGUGGUGCUGGGAUGGAGGGAUUGCUGUACUCGUAAGCAGUAUUGUGAGCUGCCUUCCUCAAGGACGGCUCUCUAGACAUGAUGGGUGAUUACAGCUAUAUGAAGUUUCUUGCCUAUGGGUUAAUGUAGGCUCAGAGUUAACAUUGUGCCCGAAUAGUUAAGGCUUCCCAUGUACAAGAUAGAGCUGAAGAAUCUCCUGACAAGGAAGUACUGGAGACAUUCCUGCCUCUCCUUCUGCAUCUUGGGCUCCAGCCCAGGAGAUGCUGACUUCCCAGGGACGUGUGCUUCUCCCAUGCAGUACAAACACCCCUAUGCCCCUCAGACACGUGCUUGAGGACACUACGACCAACUGGCUUUGGGAAUGUUGGGCAUCAGAAAGAAGAUAUGACUUGACACCUGCCCAUGGAACCUGCAAACUACAGCAUGGCCUCUUCCUUCCAGCAGAAGAAUCCCUGGAUGCUAGUAAUCCCAGCAUCAUCACUGCCUUAUUUUGAACACCAGUGGACUUCAUUGGAGAGAUGCAUGUUGCUGGAUGAGAGCCUGUGCCCUCAAAUAACAGCUUAAGCUAACAACUACAGCCAGGGCUCCAUGACAUCGAAGAGCUGUAUCCAUCCUAGAUCCUGGACUGACAAGACAUUAAGAAAUUGUUAAGGGUUGUAUCAAAACUGCAGAGGCAAUUUAAAGCAAAUUCUUUGUUAGCAGAAACUGGCUUUGCUUUCGAUGAAUUCUUUCAACACAUGUAAAAUGAAGGGGAAAUAAAAAGUUGUGUAUGUUG